CUGGAAACAACGGUGCAGACUGGAGGCUUCCAAAACCACUGCAGUGGGAUGUGACCGUCCUACACAGAGGCCUCUCAUGCAGGAGCAGGAGUCCAUCAGCUUUUUCAGCCCAGAAAAUGGGUUCCCUCUCCAUCCCUUACAGGUAAAGUAACUAAGAGAGGAUUUCUUUUUCCUUCCCUCCUCUCUUCCUUUCAUCUUUUUUUUUCCCCCUUUUCUGAUUGCUUGACACAGCUCUCCCAACUGAAAGAAGGCAUUUAUAGCAGCUUUGCUGAAGUUGAGAAAGUCGAGCCUGAGAUAAACAUGGCCAUGUGAGAAGAAAAUUAGCUCCAGAUUGUUUCAUUCCAUGCAAGCAAAACAUUGAAAAGGCC
rnacentral:lncRNA from 1 species